GGCCGUUUGGCUCAAUGGUAGAGCGUCCGCCUCCUACUCAACACAGUCAGUACCGAAGCGGAAGGUUGUGGGUUCGAGUCCCAUGAUGGUCG
rfam:Sphaerulina musiva SO2202 unplaced genomic scaffold SEPMTscaffold_8, whole genome shotgun sequence.